CAGCAGCCGCGGGAAUACGAAGGGUGCAAGCGUUAAUCGGAAUUACUGGGCGUAAAGGGCGCGUAGGCGGCACGAUUAGUCAGGCGUGAAAUUCCUGGGCUCAACCUGGGGACUGCGCUUGAUACGGUCGAGCUAGAGGAUGGAAGAGGGUCGUGGAAUUCCCAGUGUAGAGGUGAAAUUCGUAGAUAUUGGGAAGAACGCCGGUGGCGAAGGCGGCGACCUGGUCCAUUACUGACGCUGAGGCGCGACAGCGUGGGGAGCAAACAGGAUUAGAUACCCCCGUAGUCCCUGUCUCUUAUAC
rnacentral:rRNA from 1 species